rnacentral:siRNA from 1 species
UGUUGGUCGAGUGCUUUUCUAU